GAUGAAGAACGCAGCGAAAUGCGAUACGUAAUGUGAAUUGCAGAAUUCAGUGAAUCAUCGAGUCUUUGAACGCACAUUGCGCCCCCUGGUAUUCCGGGGGGCAUGCCUGUCCGAGCGUCAUUGCUGCCCUCAAGCACGGCUUGUGUGUUGGGCCUCCGUCCUCCUCCCGGGGGACGGGCCCGAAAGGCAGCGGCGGCACCGCGUCCGGUCCUCGAGCGUAUGGGGCUUCGUCACCCGCUCUUGUAGGCCCGGCCGGCGCUUGCCGACACAUCAAUCUUUUUUCCAGGUUGACCUCGGAUCAGGUAGGGAUACCCGCUGAACUUAAGCAGAUCAAUAAGCGGAGGA
rnacentral:misc_RNA from 1 species